UGUGUUAUUAGUAGACCACCAAUGAGGAAUGACUCAGAGGAAGAAGUAGUUUACACAAAGCUUGAGUUUUGUAACUGAACAUUAUUAUUUGUGAUCCAUUUCUUGCUCAUGAAGACAAAAAAAGUUAACUUUUUUUUUUUUCUGUCCCACUUUUCUAUCUCUGAGGCUCCAAGUUUUGGAGACAGUGUUUACCUAGCAUAAGUCACUACAAGUUUCAUAAACUGGGCAUAAGAUGGUACGAUGUGAAAUCUUAGUAAAAGUCUGUUGUAAUACAACAGUUUCAUUAGGUUUAUUUGGCCAUAGAGACAAAUAGAUUGUCCAUUUCAAAUUGAUUAAUAAGACACCUGGGAAUAUUUACUUGACUGUAUCAAAGCCCGAAGUCUUCGUUUGUGUGAUCUCUUCAGGAUUGUGUUUUUACUUGGAGCGAUAUGCUACUUUUCUGUAUGAUUGGGAAAUAAAGCCUUUAGGCCACGGCUCUCAUAGUAUACUUGAAGUUCCACAAACCAAUCAUGUUUACAUAUAAAUCUUUCAACUGAUUGAAAGAAUCGACAGCAAGAUUAUGAAACACCUUCCCUGUCCCACCAUCAAGGCUUGCUGCUUCCUGCCCUGGAGCUUCUGUUUAGAUGCCAUGUCUUCUCAGGAGACUUUGCUGUUCUCCAAGGACCAACUAACACAUUGCAUCGCAGAAGUCUUGUUUGCUGGUGUAAGAGAGGACAGGCCAAAUCACUUGAAGCAUGUGCUGCUGUUGGCUCAGCACUUCUCAUUAGGUACUGAAAAAGCCUCUGGUCUGGAUGACAAGCCCUGCCAGUCCUUUAGGUAAUAUUCCUUUUCCUCCUCUUGCUUCCUACAGAAAACUGACUUUAUUCAGGGUAUGGAAGCUCACAGUUUAAAUGCUCAGAUUCUUUCACUAUUUUGGGUAAUGAGAUAUAAGUGAGCCUACUUACCUUCCAUUGGCAAUUGUAGGAGAACUGUCAUUUUCCUGAUAAAUCGAUGAUCAAAUCAGAUGACCCACACCCUUUGUGUUUACCCUUCAGAAAGAGCGGCAGCUAUCCUGCAGGCACGAAAAUGAAAGCCAUACACUAAGAGUGGCUGCACUUUGAGGGAUUUUGGAGCUGAUCAAAAAAAAAAAAACAACAACAACGAUAUGGUCUCCAGGCAUAGUAAUCCAUAACACACUUGACUGGGCCACACUUGGACAGGAUUGCAUAAAAUGGGCUCACAACGUGGGGCUAUCCCAGAAGCUCACAGUAAGGAGGGGCACUGCCUAGCAGAGGAGGGCAAGGAGACUCCCCGAGGAGAUGGGGAUUAGAGACACAUCUCAUGGGCCCAACUGAUGUACUCCAGCAGCACAGCAGUAGGGAGUCUGUGGGUCAGAGAGCCCCAAAGGGCCGUAACAGCUCCAGGUCUUAUAACCACAAGGCUCUGUACCAUCUAUUGCUAGCAGAUGUAGAUUGAGGUUUGGGAGGUGUGCAAAGCAGGGAGGCUCUAAGUGGCUAAUGAUUGACUAAUUUGGACUAUAGUUAAAAUAAUUUCAUGUAUUAAGUACU
rnacentral:lncRNA from 1 species